rnacentral:rRNA from 1 species
GACGAACGCUGGCGGCGUGCUUAACACAUGCAAGUCGAACGGAAAGGCCCUGCUUUUGUGGGGUGCUCGAGUGGCGAACGGGUGUGUAACACGUGAGUAACCUGCCCUUGACUGUGGGAUAACUUCUGGAAACUGGGGCUAAUACCCGAUAGGAGCUCCUGCUGCAUGGUGGGGGUUGGAAAGUUUCGGCGGUUGGGGAUGGACUCGCGGCUUAUCAGCUUGUUGGUGGGGUAGUGGCUUACCAAGGCUUUGACGGGUAGCCGGCCUGAGAGGGUGACCGGCCACAUUGGGACUGAGAUACGGCCCAGACUCCUACGGGAGGCAGCAGUGGGGAAUAGUGCACAAUGGGCGGAAGCCUGAUGCAGCAACGCCGCGUGCGGGAUGACGGCCUUCGGGUUGUAAACCGCUUUCGCCUGUGACGAAGCGUGAGUGACGGUAAUGGGUAAAGAAGCACCGGCUAACUACGUG